rnacentral:rRNA from 1 species
AGUCGUGCGAGAAAGGGCUUCGGCCCCAAUACAGCGGUUUUCCCCUGAGUAACACGUAAGUAAUCUUCCCUCGAGUGGUGGAUAACCCUCCGAAAGGAGGGCUAAUACAGCAUGAGACCACGACCUCUUCGGAGGUUGCGGCCAAAGCACGCCACUACAUGUAAGCUUGCGCUUGAGGAUGAGCCUGCAGCCCAUCAUCUAGUUGGUAAGGUAACGGCUUACCAAGGCUAAUACGGGUAGCUGGUCUGAGAGGAUGAGCAGCCACACCGGAAACUAAAACACGGUCCAGACUCCUACGGGAGGCA